rnacentral:rRNA from 1 species
AGCGGCAGGCUUAAUACAUGCAAGACGAACGGCAAGAUUUUUAGCAAUAAGAAUCCCAGAGUGUCGUAAGGGUGCGUAACACGUAUGCAAUCUGCCCUCAACAGGAGGAUAGCUCCCCGAAAGGGGAAUUAACACUCCAUAAGAUCAUGGAAUGGCAUCAUUCAGUGAUUAAAACUACGGUGGUUGAGGAUGAGCAUGCGCAUGAUUAGUUAGUUGGCGGGGUAACGGCCCACCAAGACGAUGAUCAUUAGGGGAACUGAGAGGUUGAUCCCCCACACUGGCACUGAGAUACGGGCCAGACUCCUACGGGAGGCAGCAGUAGGGAAUAUUGGACAAUGGGUGCGAGCCUGAUCCAGCCAUGCCGCGUGCAGGAAGACGGCCUUCUGGGUUGUAAACUGCUUUUGCCAGGGGAUAAAACGUCCAUGCGUGGAUAAUUGAAGGUACCUGGUGAAUAAGCCACGGCUAACUACGUGCCAGCAGCCGCGGUAAUACGUAGGUGGCAAGCGUUGUCCGGAUUUAUUGGGUUUAAAGGGUGCGUAGGCGGUUUUAUAAGUCAGUGGUGAAAUACAACAGCUUAACUGUUGAGGUGCCAUUGAUACUGUAAGACUUGAGUACAGACGAGGUAGGCGGAAUUGACGGUGUAGCGGUGAAAUGCUUAGAUAUCGUCAAGAACACCGAUAGCGAAGGCAGCUUACUAGACUGUAACUGACGCUGAGGCACGAAAGUGUGGGGAUCAAACAGGAUUAGAUACCCUGGUAGUCCACACUGUAAACGAUGAUUACUCGAUGUUGGCGAUACACAGCCAGCGUCUUAGCGAAAGCGAUAAGUAAUCCACCUGGGGAGUACGCCCGCAAGGGUGAAACUCAAAUGAAUUGACGG